rnacentral:rRNA from 1 species
CCUACGGGAGGCAGCAGUAGGGAAUAUUGCUCAAUGGGGGAAAGCCUGAAGCAGCAACGCCGCGUGGAGGAUGAAGGUUUUAGGAUUGUAAACUCCUUUUGUUAGAGAAGAUAAUGACGGUAUCUAACGAAUAAGCACCGGCUAACGCCGUGCAAGCAGCCGCGGUAAUACGGAGGGUGCAAGCGUUACUCGGAAUCACUGGGCGUAAAGAGCGAGUAGGCGGGAUAGCAAGUCAGAUGUGAAAUCCUAUGGCUUAACCAUAGAACUGCAUUUGAAACUGUGAUUCUAGAGUAUGGGAGAGGUAGGUGGAAUUCUUGGUGUAGGGGUAAAAUCCGUAGAGAUCAAGAGGAAUACUCAUUGCGAAGGCGACCUGCUAGAACAUAACUGACGCUGAUGCGCGAAAGCGUGGGGAGCAAACAGGAUUAGAUACCCGAGUAGUC